GCAGUAAACGUAGGCAUGGCUCUGCAUUAUCAACCAUCACAAUCAAAUUAACCAAAACAACUGAUCAGCAUGAGAAAGGGAGGAAAUUCAAAAGAGCCGUAACAAAGCAUAUGCAAAUGCAACCAUAUAAAUCAAAACAUGCCAGAUUAAACCACCUUAAUAAAGCUGCAAGAUAGCGAAUAUAAAAUAAAAAACUUAAGCAAUAAAAACUAAAACAAGUUAUAAGAAAAGACAAACAAAGCUACCACUGCACAAUACACCCGCUCCUGAAAUUUACAGAAUACUAGGUACACUAACAAAAAGUGCACCUCAUACUCACAAUAUUUCAAUUAUACCUCAAAAUAAGGAGAGAGGAUUCAAGCACAGCAAUGAAUAAUUUCUCUAGUCGCACCUUCCCCUAUUUCUAAAAGCCAAUAAAAUUUUGCUCAGAUUGAAAAUUUAGUGAUCUCUAGUACUCCGUAAUAAUAAUGAAGACCGCCUUGAAUCCAUAAUCUAGAACCAGAACAGAGACACAAAUUCCAUUAAUUGAUGAAAAAUUGGACAAAUUUGUUUUCUGAAGGGAGCUAAUGUUCCGUUCCUAGCAGAAAUAAAUUUUACCAAAAAAAUUAAAAAAAAAUUAUAUUCUACACAAAUUCUAACUCCAAAGAAAUAAAGAAAAAAAAAACAUGGUUCAAUGCUG
rnacentral:misc_RNA from 1 species